AGCCCUCGUAUCCGUGCUGAGAUUUCGUCACACAUCAGACUACAAGGGUUGAUGAGACUCCCAAGAUAAGUGAAACG
rnacentral:pre_miRNA from 1 species